ACUGGAAAGGUAGGUGGAAAUGGAUACAUGGCUCUUUUAGACAAUUUUUGCUUGUGCAGGGUAUCUGCUAGUCGAACAGGUCCAAUCAAACCCAAGUCGAAUUUACUUGUUUGUGGAUAAAAUAGAAUUGUCUCGAUUUUCUACUCAAAUACACUUUCAAUUUAUUUCAUUUUAGAGACUCGUUAAACUUGAAAUUUUUGCUUAAAUUGGAAAAUUUAUAAAUCAACUAGAGCUAUGUCGGGCUGUCUAAGAUAAAUGUUAAUCUAGUUGAAAAGUGUACGAAUUAUAACUGUUUAUACCCUGUACCCAAUAAAAAAGGGGUAUGAUGAAAUCGUGCAGGCGACUAUUGAGACGAGCUGAUCAGAUCCUUUUGUCCCUCUGCCCAGCUGGAGGACUGCAUCCAUUUCAGAGAGAGAGAGAGAGAGAGAGAGCGAGAAGGAGAGGGAGAGAAGGAGAGAGAGAGAGGGAGAGAUACUUGAAAUCAUCGAAAUUUAUGCUAGCGAGCUCUCUGAAGUUAUCGAUAGUAAAUUAUCGACUUUUAAAUAAUCGAAUUAGAACUUAAAUUGCAUUUGAAGAUGAUUAAUCCCUAUGCCAAAACAUAUUCCAUGAUUGUUUGGAACACAUAUUCAUUCUAUCGGACACUAAGCUAUGCAGUUUUUUAGUUUGUUCAAAGGAAACGGGGUAUCUACUGGUCGUGGAUGGGGCAUGAUUCCAAUGUUUCCGUUAAUUUCUUAACAUUUCUCUUACCAUCUGUGGCCUUUGCGCUCUGAUUGGUGGACGUGGCCUUCAUUUGGGUUCCCGUCGCGCUCUUGUGUCCAUCCUCGUCCUCCGCUGGAGCAGCUGUGUCGUCCGCUGCGGCCGCAUUGUUGGCCGUGCCAGCGGCAACUGUGCUGGAUAAUUGACUACCUGUUGUUGUAAUGGACAUGACAAUGUUCGGCUUCUCCAAAAGGCGGCUCAUGGCAGACUGUCAGGAUUGAAGGCACAAUGAAUUUGCAUUUUAAUUAGAAUUCCUGGUCAAAUGCCUAAGAACUAAUAUUAUUGGCUAAUAAAGCAGCUAACGUAUUAGCUUGAGGCCCGCUGAUAAGGCAGAGCAUCGCUCUGGACGAGAACUUUCGCAAUUGUUUCAUAAUGGAACAAACAUAUUA